GAUGAACGCUGGCGGCGUGCCUAAUACAUGCAAGUCGAGCGAACAGAUGAGGAGCUUGCUCCUCUGACGUUAGCGGCGGACGGGUGAGUAACACGUGGAUAACCUACCUAUAAGACUGGGAUAACUUCGGGAAGCCGGAGCUAAUACCGGAUAAUAUAUUGAACCGCAUGGUUCAAUAGUGAAAGACGGUUUUGCUGUCACUUAUAGAUGGAUCCGCGCCGCAUUAGCUAGUUGGUAAGGUAACGGCUUACCAAGGCAACGAUGCGUAGCCGACCUGAGAGGGUGAUCGGCCACACUGGAACUGAGACACGGUCCAGACUCCUACGGGAGGCAGCAGUAGGGAAUCUUCCGCAAUGGGCGAAAGCCUGACGGAGCAACGCCGCGUGAGUGAUGAAGGUCUUCGGAUCGUAAAACUCUGUUAUUAGGGAAGAACAAAUGUGUAAGUAACUAUGCACGUCUUGACGGUACCUAAGCAGAAAGCCACGGCUAACUACGU
rnacentral:rRNA from 1 species